AUACGUAGGUGACAAGCGUUAUCCGGAUUUACUGGGCGUAAAGGGCGUGUAGGCGGUCUUGCAAGUCAGAAGUGAAAUUCCUGAGCUCAACUCGGGCGCUGCUUCUGAAACUGCAGGACUUGAGUGCUGGAGGGGAUAGCGGAAUUCCUAGUGGAGCGGUAAAAUGCGCAGAUAUUAGGAAGAACACCGGGGGCGAAGGCGGCAUUCUGGGCAGGAACAGACGCUGAGACGCGAAAGCGUGGGGAGCAAACAGGAUAAGAUACCCUGGUAGUCCACGCCGUAAACAAUGAAUACUAGGUGUAGUGGGUAUCGACUCCCUCUGUGCCGCAGUUAACACAAUAAGUAUUCCGCCUGGGGAGUACGGCCGCAAGGUUGAAACUCAAAUGAAUUGACGGGG
rnacentral:rRNA from 1 species